rnacentral:rRNA from 1 species
GAUGAACGCUGGCGGCGUGCCUAAUACAUGCAAGUAGAACGCUGAGGGCGGAGCUUGCUCUUCUGGACGAGUUGCGAACGGGUGAGUAACGCGUAGGUAACCUGCCUGGUAGCGGGGGAUAACUAUUGGAAACGAUAGCUAAUACCGCAUGACAACAGCUAUUGCAUGAUAACUGUUUAAAAGGGGCAACUGCUCCACUACCAGAUGCGCCUGCGUUGUAUUAGCUAGUUGGUGAGGUAUCGCCUCACCAAGGCGACGAUACAUAGCCGACCGGAGAGGGUGAGCGGCCGGACUGGGACGGAGACACGGCCCAGAGGCCUAGGGAAGGGAGCAGUAGUGAAUCUUGGGCAAUGGGCGGAAGACUGAGCGAGCAACGCCGCGGGAGUGAAGAGGGUCUUCGGGUGGUAGAGCUCGGUUGUAAGGGAAGAACGAGUGUGAGAGUGGAAAGAUCACACUGUGACGGUAACUGACCAGAAAGGGACGGCUAACUACGUG